CCGUCUUUAGCUCAGCUGGUAGAGCGCGAGACUGUAAUGGCAUUAAGUUAUCUCGAUGUCACCUGUUCGACCCAGGUAAGACGGA